rnacentral:rRNA from 1 species
CCUACGGGAGGCUGCAGUGGGGAAUAUUGGACAAUGGGGGGAACCCUGAUCCAGCCAUGCCGCGUGUGUGAAGAAGGCCCUCGGGUUGUAAAGCACUUUCAGUGAGGAAGAACGCCUGGUGGUUAAUACCCAUCAGGAAAGACAUCACUCACAGAAGAAGCACCGGCUAACUCCGUGCCAGCAGCCGCGGUAAUACGGAGGGUGCGAGCGUUAAUCGGAAUUACUGGGCGUAAAGCGCGCGUAGGUGGCUUGAUAAGCCGGUUGUGAAAGCCCCGGGCUCAACCUGGGAACGGCAUCCGGAACUGUCAAGCUAGAGUGCAGGAGAGGAAGGUAGCAUUCCCGGUGUAGCGGUGAAAUGCGUAGAGAUCGGGAGGAAUACCAGUGGCGAAGGCGGCCUUCUGGACUGACACUGACACUGAGGUGCGAAAGCGUGGGUAGCAAACAGGAUUAGAUACCCUUGUAGUC